UAGAUAUUUGACCUUCGAGACCCACGGU
rnacentral:piRNA from 1 species